rnacentral:lncRNA from 1 species
GAAGCAAUUAAAAUAAAUUAGAUCUCACAGUAAUUGUUGAACCAAGUCUUCAGUUGUCCCCUUGACUAGAAUUAAGAGCUUAGUCCUCCAUUAAUGGAGAACAACCAUGCGAAAGAGCUAAGAAAAGAAAACUAAAAACUAAACUAAAAGCCUAAAACUCGUGUGUUUCCAACCUCUCGUACGUUUCUCCCUUUUUAAAGCCAAAAGGAAGUCUAAUGCUAUCUCUAGUGGUCCCCACACCAAAUUCAAAGUCCAAUUCCAUUUCACAAGCUUUGUACGUUUCUUUUCCUAGAGUCCAAAUGACUCAUGCUUCUUAUCCGUGGUCCCCGCACAUGUGGACAAAUCCUCCAAAGUACUUGUUGUUCCAAGUCUCUCUACGUUGCUUUUUUUGAAAAGCCAAAUGACUAAAUGCCUUGCACUAGCUUGUGGUCCCCACCAAUUCAAGGACCCAAAGGUUGAAGCCUUAGAAGUCUGCAUUUUUCCAUACAAGUCCCUCCUUUUUGGUAAUUUUCUGCUUCAAUCCCUGAAAUUGGGUCCAAUACCAAAUAUAAGUAAAUAUUAAUAAUUAAAACAAUAUUUGGCAAGGAUAAAAGGGGAAAUUAACAAUAAAAUUGUUAACAAUUAACACCCUAUCAAUUCCCCCCACACCUAAAUCCUGCUUGUCCUCAAGCAUAAGAACAACAAUUGAACACCAAAAUUUGACUAUGGCUAUUGCUCUAACUAUCAUAUUGCCAAGAUACCCAGAAAAACAUAUAUCAAGUUUCACAAGUUAAGAUCAAGAAAAAAUCACCCCGGUUAGCUUCCCAACCACCAACUCCUCCAAUUUAAAGCAAACUAAUCUAAGAAAAAGGAAUGGUUGCUCACAUUUAUCAGCAAAUGGUCCAACUAUUAACCAAAAUCUCGACAUUAAAAUCACAAACUGGCAAGCUGACUUAUUCACAUACUAACACAAUCUUUAUUUUAUUAUUUUUUCUUUUUGUUUUGUUUGUUUCUUUUUCUCUUUUUUUUUUUUUUUUGAGUAACAAAAGACUUAGUCUAUAGCCCUUAGAGCCUUUUGACGCGAACUCCAACAUUUGAUAAAUGGAGGAGCCCGGUUACUCAGCUCCAAUCGCUACGGGACCACACACUCAUAGCAAUUACUACCUUUUGACGCGAGAAUCGACACUUUAGGUGAAGAUCCCCGGUUACUCAGUAGUAACCACUAGCGGAGUACAGUCAACUCUUAUUUACAACCAUAUAGCAUAAUAACUAAAAAUAACACCAAAAAUAACAGCAGCCAGCCUCAAAUUUCCAAACAUGAAGAACUAAAAUUAAUAAUUGGACCAAUUCACAUGAAAAAUGCCAACAAUCAUUCCCUAUGCCUAGAAAAGUUAACCAAAAAUUGGAAAAGUCAAGCAAUUACCGAUAUUCACCAGAGAGAUAUUCAUGAACUCAACCACAUCAACUUGAUACCUUUUUAUUAAUAAACUUGGCAAUAGCAUAUUAGAGGCAACAAUCCAGCAUCAAAACUUGGUAUUCAUUUAAGGACUGACCACUAGAAAGAAAAAGAAAAUAAAAUAAAUGAAAGAUAGGCAAAAACUAACUAAAAAUAAAGGAAAAACCCUAGAAACUAAAAACAAAAAUACUAGCACCCCAACUGAUCUCCCCCCACACCUAAAUGACACAUUGCCCUCAAUGUGAUAAAUAAAUAGUAAUAGCAAGGCGAAGGGCAACGGAACUUCCCUGAAGUCGUCAAAAUAGGGACGGAUCGGGCGGGAACUGAGGAGCAAGACCUGCAUGGUACAUAAACACUUCAACAAUAAUGUGGGUCGAGGGUCCGAGACCUAGAAGAAGAUUUGGGUCUCACCAUGGUCACUAACAGACAAAUCAAUCAACAAGAGAUAGAAGCUCCAACAAGUAGAGGGGUCAGCAAUUGCAAAUCAAUAACAACUACAGCCACCAGUAAGGGCAAUAAGCAAGGCAAUAUCCACCAAUGCGUCUCACUUAACAAUCCGACCAACAACAGAAAUUGGUGUUCCAGCAAAUGUAUUAAACUAGUAACGCAGAAGUCGUAACUAAGGGUAGGCAAUAAUCAAGUGAGUAAGCAAUAUUUCCCGCAAUCGGACAAUUAAAUGCAAAAUGUGUCCACCCAAGUACUCGACAAAUGUCCCACCGGUCAAUUUCAGAAUCAAUGCAGUCCAAAGUGCAACAUGUGCUCCCAAGAACUUAGUGAUUGAAAACAAAAAAAAACACAAUACCUCCAAACAAGGCAAAUAGAGGCAACCGACUUCAACAAUUAAAUUUACACGGCACAUUCAUAUCCCAAUGCAGCAAACAACUGCAAAAAGAAAGUACCCACAGUACCAGAACACAGCUCCCAAUAAUGUAUCAAAACAGCAGGUCGAACCAACUAGGGGCUGUGCUAGUGUCUUAAUAAAUCAACAACUCUCAGCAAAUAGACACAAUUCUACCCAAAAUCGCGACAACUAUCGCCAAUUGGACAGUUGAUCGCACACUCAAUCCAACCAAAAGUUCUAGCAACAGCCGAUCAGAAUUGAAGCAAUAACUUAAUCACAAGAACUUGAAUUUCAAACAAGCAAGCAUCUCCAAAUAUAAGCAACAACUAUAGUCAAAAGACCCCACCAGUACCACUGGUGGGCACACAAGGAAGAAUUAAAUCAAAUAUGAUCGAUCGAUAGCAGGAGCACCCAAAUUCAAUCAACAACAAGUAAUUCAGGCAAACAAAAGCAAAAGAGAAACACAAAAAGGGGCCAGAUAUCAAUCAAACAAAAGCCAUUGCCCGUGAAUAAAGAAAACACUAAAAAGCAACAGGUACUGGUAAACCACAGAGGGAAGAAGGGACCGGACACCGUUGUUGGCAGAGAGACCGAGCGCCUGGGGCAGCACGGCCGCGUUUAGGGCAGGCCGUGGGAGGAAGGAAGAGUCGCGCGAUGGAGCAAGAGGCUGCUGCAGAGGUGGACGAGCGGCGAGAGGGCUAGCGGUGGAGCUGGUGGUGAGCGCAAGUGGGUAGCCGCUAGUGGAUAGCGGCCGGUCAGCAGCUGCCGCGGGCUGCAGGUGGCGAUGGAGCUGCUGGAGUGGAGACGAGCUGGGGUGGCGUGUGAAGGAGAGCUGGUGGUCGUCCGUGAGGUGGAGCUUGGAGGCGGCGGCGAUGGCAGUUGGGCAACGGGAAACUGGCGGCGCGAGGUGGCCUGGCUGGUGGAGGCUGAUGGUAUCCUUGAGGCUGAUCGUGCGGCACAGGAGGAGCAGCGGCGGCAAAGGAACUCAGCACGCUGUGGGUGGACGGCCGUGGGCAGGGGAGCAGCGGCGCCGCGGCGGUUGGUCGAGAGAGUGCGAGAUGGUGGAGAGGAGCUGGUGGCCAGUGGAGGUCCAUGGUGGAGGGAAAAGCGGACAGCAUUGAGGCAGCUUGUGGCGCUCGAGGAGCUGGCGGAAGCGAGGGAAGCACGCGACUGCUUGGUGGAGUAAGGAUGCCCGUGGGGCGCUGGGGAAGAUGGACGGCAGCCGAGCGCAAGGGGGCAGCUGCUGGAGUGAGGCGUGGCAGCUUGGGCUGGGGUGGAGAGAGAGAGAAUGGAGGCGGCGGCAAUGGAGGAAACAAAAGCUACGGGAAGCAGGGCAGCGGGAAGAAGGAAGAAAUAAAAGAAAACGGAAGCAGGGCAGCGGGGAAGAAAGAAAGAAAGAAAGAAAGAAAGAAGAAGAAAGAAAGAAAAAGAAGAAAAGAAAAGAGAAAAAAAAAUAGUUUUUUUUGGGGAAUUUUUUUUUUUUUUUCAAUUUUUUUUUCGAAUUUAAAUUUUCAAAAUUUGAAUUUUUGAAGAAAAAGAAAAAGAAGAAGAAAAAAAAAUGUUUUUAUUCUUUUUAUUCUUUUUUUUUUCCAAUAUGCAUUUUAAAAAAAAAAAAUUUUUUUUAAUUCAUUUUUGGGUCGUCAAACACCGCGUGGGCACGCCAAGAUUAGAGAGCAUCCACUGACUUCGAGAGUUACCUUACGCACUUUAACGCGUGCCCUCCUCGCGUGGGCACGCCAAGAUUACCUAUCCUGAUCAGAGUUAGAAAACAUCAAGAGUGACUAGUACCACGUGAGAAACGACAUAAUUAAAUAAUUAAGCUCUAAAACAAUAAAAUUAACAAUUGGGUUGCCUCCCAAAAAGCGCCUUUCUUUAAUGUCUUUGGCUAGACAUUAUCAUAUUUUGCUCAUGGAGGAUAAAAUCUUGUGGCUCGUUUCACUGCUUCAUCUUCAAUGUGAUCCUGGUAACCCUCAUAGAUGGAGUAAUCCUUGAGCACACGACGGUCUUCCAUGGACUAGUUGAUGGCGCCAAAUAAUCAAGCAUUGAUCGCAAUUCUUCAUCCACUCUUCCAUCAAGAGCAUUCAACGGUUCAAGAUACUUGACCAUAGCUACUCUUAACUCAUUCCUGCCAUGAGACUCAAGAACUUCCGGUAUAACAAAAUCAAUCUCAUCAACAGAAAUCAUAGAGUCAGAGUUAAGAAAAUGCGGGUUAGGGAAUGGAAGUGGUGUCACCACAUUUGAUGAUUCUUCACUGGAUUCUUUCACUUGAAUGGGUUGCGGUUGGGGUUCCAUUUCUUCAUUUUCGGCUUCUUUUUCAACUGCAUCUGUACAUCUCUCUUCUUGAAAAUCUUGCAGCUCCUCAUCACCAGUCAGGCAAAUUGCACUCUCAUUUUCUUCAAAAUCAACAAUGGUUUUCGAGGGCAAUUCUUCAAAUUGAGAAGCCAAUCGAUUUAUUCUGGAUGUCAAUAGACACAUUUGAUCUUCCAGAUUACUCAUUGCCUCCUUCAUCAUCUCAUUUCUCCUUUGUGUCUCCUGUUGGAAUUGAUAUGUAUUAAUAGCUAUUGAUUCAACUAUUUCUUCAAGAGACAUACCUGACAUAGAUGAUGAUUCUUGAGACUUCAUACUGCUGAAAAUUCAUUGGUCCUGUUGUAUAAUUAUAACUGGAGUUAUCCCACCAUCCUUGAUCAUACCCGUUUGGUUUAGGGUUAUACCACGUUUGAGACCAGGGUGAAAAAUCUCCAUAAUUAUUGAGGGGGACACUCAGAUUAUCUUGAUAUUCGGGGCACAUACCAGUUGAAUGAUCCCUGGCAUAACAAAUUUUACAGGUUGCAGCAGCCAUUCUUUCUCUAAUAGAGUUUAGUGCCUCUGAAUAUGCAAACUUAGCAAAAAAACUAGUCUCAUCGUCUUCCCCGGAAACAAAAUCCAGACUAUCACCAAAAUAUGGAGUGUUAGAAGCCAUAAACUAUAUAAUAAAAAAAAAUAAGAGAUAAAUAAAAAAAAAAUAAAAUAAAAUAAAAACAAGAUGAACUCAAAAAGAAAUAAAUUAAUCUGACACCAGUCCCCGGCAACGGCGCCAAAAAUUGACAGGUGCCGAACCUGUACAAUAAUAAAUACCUACUCGAGAAAAAUACAGAUUUUGUAUAUAGCAGUGAGUAGGGUCGAAUCCACAGGGACUGGGGAUAAUUCGUUUCUUCUAGAGUCCAAGGUAUGGGGGGUUUUGGAUUAAAUGCUAACUAAAGAAAUUAACUGCAGAAAAUAAUUGAUUAAGAGAAAUAAUUAAGGGAAAACUCUAGCCAAGGGUACACUUCAGAAAUGGUUCAGGCACUGAUCAUUGAUUCACAGAUAAUUCCAAAUUUAUUAAUAAAUUAGUUAUAGUUGCCCUGCACGCGAUAAACAACCAACCUUUCCUUACUUUCUCGAUAGUUAAGGUACGACCGUUAAUUAUUUCUCUAACCCAAAAACAACCCUAGGUACGACCGUAGGGUUUAAUUUCUAGAUUGCAUUAAUAAUUAGAAAGACCCAAUCCUAACUAACAAACACGCUACGAGGGUUUGUUUAAGUUAGAUCGUAUGUUCCCCUGACAUAAACCCAAUUACGCCAGUUGCUACUGAGAUAAAGAUAACGAACAAUUAUGGAUUCAAUUAUCCCUAUUUAGCAAAAUAGCCUAUGUGAAUAAUUAAAUAUUGCGCAUCUAUUCAAUCACUCACACGAGCUAUAGCAAUUAAAAGCAGGAAACAUAUAAAUACCAAUAAAUUAAGGAAGCAAUUAAAAUAAAUUAGAUCUCACAGUAAUUGUUGAACCAAGUCUUCAGUUGUCCCCUUGACUAGAAUUAAGAGGUUAGUCCUCCAUUAAUGGAGAACAACCAUGCGAAAGAGCUAAGAAAAGAAAACUAAAAACUAAACUAAAAGCCUAAAACUCGUGUGUUUCCAACCUCUCGUACGUUUCUCCCUUUUUAAAGCCAAAAGGAAGUCUAAUGCUAUCUCUAGUGGUCCCCACACCAAAUUCAAAGUCCAAUUCCAUUUCACAAGCUUUGUACGUUUCUUUUCCUAGAGUCCAAAUGACUCAUGCUUCUUAUCCGUGGUCCCCGCACAUGUGGACAAAUCCUCCAAAGUACUUGUUGUUCCAAAUCUCUCUACGUUGCUUUCUUUGAAAAGUCCAAAUGACUAAAUGCCUUGCACUAGCUUGUGGUCCCCACCAAUUCAAGGACCCAAAGGUUGAAGCCCUUAGAAGUCUGCAUUUUUCCAUACAAGUCCCUCCUUUUUGGUAAUUUUCUGCUUCAAUCCCUGAAAUUGGGUCCAAUACCAAAUAUAAGUAAAUAUUAAUAAUUAAAACAAUAUUUGGCAAGGAUAAAAGGG